GAUGAACGCUAGCGGCAGGCUUAAUACAUGCAAGUCGAACGGUAAGUGUUGUAGCAGUAUAACACCAAGAGUGACGUACGGGUGCGUAACACGUAUGCAACCUACCCUUUACAGGAGGAUAGCUCGGGGAAACUCGAAUUAACCCUCCAUAAUAUAAUUGGAUGGCAUCAUUUGAUUAUUAAAACUCAGGUGGUAAAGGAUGGGCAUGCGUCUGAUUAGUUAGUUGGCGGGGUAAUGGCCCACCAAGACGAUGAUCAGUAGGGGACCUGGGACGGUGAUCGCCCACAAUGGAACUGAGAUACGGGCCAGACUCCUACGGGAGGCAGCAGUAGGGAAUAUUGGUCAAUGGAUGCAAGGCUGAACCAGCCAUGCCGCGUGCAGGAAGAAGGCCUUCUGGGUUGUAAACUGCUUUUGCCAGGGGAUAAAAUGUCUGUGCGCAGAUAAUUGAAGGUACCUGGUGAAUAAGCCACGGCUAACUACGUGCCAGCAGCCGCAGUAAUAC
rnacentral:rRNA from 1 species